GACGCCGAGGCUCUUGACUUUGGAGGAGAAGGGUACUGGGAAUCCAUCGAUAAUUAUGAGUGGAGCUGGGGUGUGUAAAGAGGACGAUGACAUUCCUGCAGCUAUCUACGUUGACUUUGAUGAUCCUAAUGUUGGUAAGAUUCAGAGAUCAAAGUCAAAGAGGGUUCUUGAACGUUCAUCAGUCGUGGAAAAACAAGAAGACCAUGUGACCACUGCCGGAGGAAUUCGAAUUCAGCUACCUUUGUUUAUCUUGGGCGCAAACUGUACACAAAUGCCAGGGCUUAACUGUUGAAAGGGCUGUUGUAUCACUCAAAAAGAUCUUUGCUUCGGGUCAAGCUUAUGUUGCAUUGAGUCGUGUGAGAACUCUCAGUGGACUGAUAAUUGAGGACUUCAGAGAGUCAGUUAUAUUUUGUGACGAGAAAGUAGAGUCAGCUCUUGAAAACAUGCAAAAGUUCAGCUAUGGAAUGUCUUUUUUGUCUGAUGUGAAUCCUGUGUGCACAAUAGCUCUUCAUAACGUACAGAGUUUAAAUGCUCACAUUCAGGAUAUCGCAGCCCAUAAGUCACUCACCAAAGCUGAUUGUAUUUGUUUAACAGAGACUUGGCUCAACACAGGUUCCGAGGAACCGCAACUUCCAGGGUACACGUUCAAGCACAAUCCGAGAGAAAACUGUUACGAUGAUUCUGAACCGGUCUUUGCAGGGUUGAAACAACAACAAAGAGGUGGUGUUGGCAUGUAUUCUUGAGACAAAAUUGAUGUGCGGGUUUCAAUUCCAGGGAGAUGCAAUGUGGAAUGCUUUGAGAUACCACACGUUAAUUUGAUUGCUGUCAUUUUAUACAGACCCAGCUCCUAUAAGAUUGAUGCCUUUUGACAGCAUUUGUUACAGCUCGUCUUUGACCUUGACAAACAUCCUGGGAGGAAACUCAUCAUGGGAGACUUCAAUGAGGAUAUCUUUGUGUCGUCUACCAUUGGCAAGUUACUGGAACAGCAUGGGUACAGUCAACACGUGCACACAGCCACAACUGAAAAAGGUACGUUGAUAGAUCACGUGUACUGUAAAGAUGCAGGAGAUGUUACUGUUGAAGUUGUACCGACAUACUUCAGUUUUCAUGAAGCAAUACUUGUCUCACUGUUGUGAUGUAUUAUUUUGCAUUCAAAGACCGUGAGAUGUUCAGGAAUAUGUUAUCCGGUCAUUAUGUUAUACAUUGUGUCAUUAUCACUACCACAAAUAUACUCCGUCCGCCAACUGGGGUUUGGGUGGGUAAGGCAAGGAGAGAGCUUCACACUGGACGGCUCCUUGCAGGGGAUGGAAGGGUAAGGGUAGGCCAUUUUCCAAAAUAAGUUGCACAAAAGACAAGCUGAUGUGUGGUUCCACAGUGAUUUCACAUUGUGACCACCACACGAAAGACCCCAAAACACCCUAAUUCAAUGAAAAAUGAAAGAAAAUAAUGCUGUAUGGAUAAUAGGAAUCCUAAAUUGUUACUAAUAAUAAUAAUAAUAAUAUUGCUGUUGUUUGUAUGUUCUGUAUGUUAUAAACAAAGAAAACUUGGAUCUAAAUAAUAACAAUAAAAAUAAUAAUAAUACAUUUGAUUUGUAGAGCACUUUACAUUCAAAAAUCUCAGUGCUACAGAGUUUAAGAGACAGGGAGAGAGAGAAAAAGUUUAAACACAGCUGUAGUCUGUGGGGCCUUCAGGUGGUCAGGGAGGGCGUUCCAUUGUCUUGGGGAAGCAGCGGAGAAAGCCUGAUCGCCCAUGGUGCGGAUGUUGGUCUUAGGUCGUCAGAGGGUGUGUGCUGAUGCAGAGCAAAGUAAUGUUACUAGACUGACAUGAUGGUGAAAACAAACCAAAAAAAGAAAAAAUAACAGCUUGAGUGCAACUUAUUUUGGAAAAUGGCCAAAAAAUAGACCCCGUUUACUUUUUUUUAUUCACCAAGGCACCAAGGGAGGGGGGACCUGAUACAUUGUGUUGGAACUUCCAAUCAGGCAGUGAUAUGCAUUAUCAAUAGUAGUUGUUUGAACAGUUUUAUUUAUGUUGUCUUUUUUGGGCCCUCUUAAUCAAUCAAUUUUGUGGAAAAUAUCACCAGUACAAUGAGGAUGUUUUCAGCAGUAAAAACAGUGUUUUGUUAUCCUUAUACUUCAUGAAAAUAGAAUGGAUGUGUAUGAAGGCAAGCAAUGUAAUGGAAGUUUCAACAGAAAGCCAAAGAAAAAACGUUUAGAUAUGAGCAUGGCUGAAUAAGGUGAACCGGUGAUUUUAUUAGUAAUGCUAGGAUUAAUUUUUAUGCCAGUGGAUCAUGUCUGUGCUCCAACAAUCGAGUGUUAUCUGUAAUGUUGGAAAAAAAAAUGACAAACAAAUGUAGUUUAAAUUAUUGCAAAGGAAUACAAUGACUUGUGAACACUAAGCAGUGAUGCUACCUCAACAGAACUGAUGUGCACUUUUCAGGGAUAAAACAGGACACAUUUUUCUUAACAAAAUAGAGAAUUGCCUACUGCAUCCCAGAACACUACUGUUAAGAGUGAUGCAAAUAAUUGGCAUAAUGUACAUCUGUAUUUAAUGCUUUCCACUUGUGAUCCAUUUCUGUAAACACGGUCUUAUAAGCAAAGGGAUUAGGGUUACUUUACUACGAGUAGUACAGAUCAUUUAUUUUGUGUAAAAGUAAUGAUAGGCAUUAAUAGUGUUAGAUUAGGGUAGGAUGUUGUAAUUGUUUUGUUUUUUACCUAUGUGAUGUAUUACUUUGUUUUGCAUUUGGGAUUAUUUAUUAUUUUCUGAAGUCAUAGUCGCUUCUGUUCAUUUCAUUUCUGCUUUGUAUUGGGAUAUACUGUACUUGCUGGUAUAUGAGAUGUAUUUGUUUGCAAGUAAAAUGAAGAAGCACAAAAGGAGGGUCUGACCGUGCAGAGUAACUCUGUAAGACAAGAGAAGGCUAUCGAAAACACUCAGACAGAAAACCUGGCUGAGCUUCGGAACCCAGAGGACAUACAGCUUCAAAGUCAUUGAAUGCAUUACUCUUAAAGCAUCUUUUGUCAUGAAAAGCAGUACCAAUAUGUGAGUAUCUAUCUUCUUUUCCUUCUUUGCACAUUAAAUAUGACGGUGGCAUUUGUCCUGCCUGUACAGCCUGUUGACCAGAGCAUGUUGACACUUUUUUUGCAAGACCUGUGUAAACUACAAACACUCUAAAUGUAAGAAGUCUGACUGUCAGAAACACUCUUGUGAGAUGAGAUUAUAUGAGCAUCCAGAAUGGGUUCUGGAUGAAAAAUUACUCUUAUGAAUUGUAUAUAAACUGCAUAACACUGUUAAUGUAUGGUCCUGCUUUGUUUUACCUACACAGCCUGCUGAUGGAGAAAUACCUGGAAAAAAGCGUGUUGCUGCUCAUCUACCUUUUUCAUCGUUGAGACCUGAUCAAACUCAUCUAUUUUCACCUGUGGUGCAGACCUUCAGUAACAGAUCCACCUGUUGGAGCUUGCUCGAGCUCAUCCAUCUUCACCUGUAUCCCAAACUUCCAAGACCAAUCUGAACUACAAAAUCCACUGCUGCUAGAAGUUUGACUGUCCAUGAUGGUCUUGUGAGAUCACUUUCCUUAAUUUUUUAAAGCGUGUUACGGUGACUGGACUGGAUGCCUGGACUCUCCUCAUGGUUAACCGGCCAGCACCACAUCACCGUGUUAUAAAAUGAUUAAUCAUUUUAUGUUUAAUCGUUUUUUGUUUUAUAUUUGUUUUGUUUGUUUUUUAGCACUUUGGUGACCAAUUUAAUAUGAAGUGCAUGUGUUUACCUGUAUGUCAAUUAUGGCACCCACUCCUGACCAUCCCUGGAAGAAGGGAUCCCCUACUAUGCGUUUCUUCUCAAGAUUUCUUCCUUGCUAAUUUCAAGGGAGUUUUUUCUUGCCCUUGUGGGGGCUUGGGUAAAGGGGGGUGUCAUAAAUAUUUUACCUGUUAAGCCCUUUGUAAUGGUGAUUAAGGGCUAUACAAAUAAUACUUGAAUUGAUUCCAUUAGUUUGUAUAUUAUUUACGAUAUCAUGUCACAAGAUGGAUAAGACAACAAAACAAUGUUGUAUAUAUGCAUUAAGAGUAUUAAAAGUAGGUGGUGUGUGUGUUUGUUACUACCUUUUAUCAGUAGUUUUGUGCUAGGGAUUGCCAGGUUAGCACUAAUUGAGGUAUGAUUCAGUAUUUUCCACAUCACCCAUCAUCACUUAUAUGAUUAAACCCUGAGUACUUGCUUGUUUAUUUAGAGUGGCUUAACAGAAACGAUGCUGCCUAUCUCUUAGUAUUAACCACAAUAAUUAAACUCUUCAUGAUUUUUCCUACCAUUGACUGACUGGGUCUUAAUUAAUCAGUGGUACAAUCCCAAUUACAAUCAGGAGGAAGUGAACAUACUCUGAAUGCUAUGCUCUUACUCAAAUAAAUGUUGACACAGA